UACAGAGGAGCCAAGCGUUGUCCGGAUUGACUGGGCGUAAAGCGCACGCAGGCGGACGCGCGCGUGGGGUGUGAAAUCUGGCCGCUUAACGGCCAGGCGCCAUCCCAUACGGCGCGUCUGGAGUGAUGCAGAGGUCGGUGGAAUUGCCGGUGUAGUGGUGAAAUGCGUAGAGAUCGGCAGGAACACCCAGGGGGAAACCAGCCGACUGGGCAUCUACUGACGCUGAGGUGCGAGAGCGUGGGGAGCGAACGG
rnacentral:rRNA from 1 species